CAUUCCCUCAGCAGUCGGAUUUUUGCCACUGCAGCUCAGCAGAGGGUGUCAGAUCUUUCAGAGUGCACCAGGUUGAAACGAGCAGAGCCUCUUAGCAACUCUCCCCCUGCGUGCCUGUGAGUGUGUGCGAGCUUAGCGUGCGGCUCGGCAGCAGCGGAAGAAAACGGAAAGAAGAGCGAGCGAGGGCGCGGGCGACGAGGGGAGGCAGCGCGGCCGGCAGGGCGAGGCGAGGCGCGGCGCGGUCGCUCGAUCGGUCUGUCAGUCCGUCGUUCUGUCGGGGAGCGCCGACCCCUCCGCAGGCUCCCGCCGCAGGCAGCAUGGGCAGCGGCGCAGCGCAGCGGGGGCAAGGGGCGCCGCGCAGCGCCGGGGGCUCGGCGGCCAUCGCCUAGGCAGCGCCUUCAGCACCGGCAGCCCGGACAGCUCCCGGCGGGCGGCCCCGCGGCCCCGCGCCACAAGGUCAGCCCGGCGCCGAGCCCGAGCCGGAGCGGGAACCGCGCACACGCGCAGCCUCCGCGCAAACCGCGGCGCGCUCCACCCGCUCCUCUCCGGCAUGCGGCGGCUGCCGGCGGCCGGCACCGUUUCCCUGACGGGUCAACUUGCACUGCUACAGCUCGUUUCUCUGACACAACCACAGGAGCUGGAGCGGCUGCAGGAACUGGAGCUUGAACUGGAGCUGGAGCAGUUGCAGGAGCUGGGACUGGAGCGGCUGCAGGAGCUGGGACUGAAGCAGCUGCAGGAACUGGAACUGGAGCAGUUGUAGGAACUGGAACUGGAGCAGCUGCAGAGUCCACCGUAGGGGUCACAGUGGCCGUUGGAUCUGUCACGGGACUUGGAGUGGCCACAGGGUCUGUCACUAAGUUGAUAGCAGUAUCCACGACAUCUCGAUAGGCAUAAGCCAGGCUCCAGCACGUUACAAUGAUUUGUGUUAGUUUGGAACUGCCAGAGUCAUCACACCUUUUUUUCAAGCAUUCUGCCAGUUUUUGAGGAUUUUGCAGUUGUUCAGGGGUGAAUUUCCAAAACACUGGGGGUGCCAACUGCUCUAGAUGCCUGCCCAUAUCCUCCCAUCUUCCCUGCCACCCACUACUAUACUGCCUCCGAGCAGAUCUCUGAAUGAGCUUCCUAAGUAGUUGUUCAACUUUAAGCAGAAUC
rnacentral:lncRNA from 1 species